UACGGGGGGGAGCAAGCGUUGUUCGGAUUUACUGGGCGUAAAGAGCGCGUAGGCGGCCACCGCAAGUCGACUGUGAAAUCUCCGGGCUUAACCCGGAAAGGUCAGCCGAUACUGCGGGGCUAGAGUGCAGAAGGGGCAACUGGAAUUCUCGGUGUAGCGGUGAAAUGCGUAGAUAUCAGGAGGAACACCGGUGGCGAAGGCGGUUCUCUGGGAAUGUACUGACGCUGAGGAGCGAAAGUGUGGGGAGCGAACAGG
rnacentral:rRNA from 1 species